UACGGAGGGUGCAAACGUUGCUCGGAAUUAUUGGGCGUAAAGCGCACGUAGGCGGUCCGCUAAGUCGGGUGUGAAAUCCCUCGGCUUAACCAAGGAAGUGCAUUCGAAACUGGCGGGCUCGAGUACUGAAGAGGGUCGCGGAAUUCCCGGUGUAGAGGUGAAAUUCGUAGAUAUCGGGAGGAACACCAGUGGCGAAGGCGGCGACCUGGGCAGAUACUGACGCUGAGGUGCGAAAGCGUGGGGAGCAAACAGG
rnacentral:rRNA from 1 species